rnacentral:misc_RNA from 1 species
UCCGAGUUGACCCCGGCAGUCUCCAAUGAGUCCCCACCAUCACGUGCUGGCAACAUUGAACAAGGGUUGCGCUCGUUGCGGGACUUAACCCAACAUCUCACGACACGAGCUGACGACAACCAUGCACCACCUGUACACCACCCCGAAGGACCUGCUAUCUCUAACAGUUUUUGGCAUAUGUCAAGCCCAGGUAAGGUUCUUCGCGUUGCAUCGAAUUAAGCCGCAUGCUCCGCCGCUUGUGCGGGCCCCCGUCAAUUCCUUUGAGUUUUAGCCUUGCGGCCGUACUCCCCAGGCGGGGCGCUUAAUGCGUUAGCUACGGCACAGGAACCGUGAACCAGUCCCCACACCUAGCGCCCAACGUUUACGGCUGGGACUAC